GACAGAGGUGCCAAGCGUUAGGCGGAAUCACUGGGCUUAAAGCGUGUGUAGGCGGAUUUCUAAGUACCUUGUGAAAUCCCACGGCUCAACCGUGGAACUGCUUGGUAUACUGGAUAUCUUGAGCCACUCAGGGGCGAGCGGAACAAAUGGUGGAGCGGUGAAAUGCGCAGAUAUCAUUUGGAACACCAAAGGUGAAAACAGCUCGCUGGGGGUGUGCUG
rnacentral:rRNA from 1 species